rnacentral:rRNA from 1 species
GCCAGUGGUGAAAGUUUUCGGCUCAACCGGAAAAUUGCCAUUGAAACUGGCGAACUUGAGUACAGUAGAGGUAGGCGGAAUUCGUGGUGUAGCGGUGAAAUGCUUAGAUAUCACGAAGAACUCCGAUUGCGAAGGCAGCUUGCUGGACUGUAACUGACGCUGAGGCACGAAAGCGUGGGGAUCAAACAGGAUUAGAUACCCUGGUAGUCCACGCCGUAAACGAUGAAUGCUAGCUGUUAGCGAUAUACUGUUAGCGGCACAGAGAAAUCGUUAAGCAUUCCACCUGGGGAGUACGCCGGCAACGGUGAAACUCAAAGGAAUUGACGGGGGCCCGCACAAGCGGAGGAACAUGUGGUUUAAUUCGAUGAUACGCGAGGAACCUUACCUGGGCUUAAAUUGCAGUGGAAUAACGUGGAAACAUGUUAGCCUUCGGGCCACUGUGAAGGUGCUGCAUGGUUGUCGUCAGCUCGUGCCGUGAGGUGUCGGCUUAAGUGCCAUAACGAGCGCAACCCUCAUCGAUAGUUACUAACAGGUUAAGCUGAGGACUCUAUCGAGACUGCCGACGUAAGUCGUGAGGAAGGUGGGGAUGACGUCAAAUCAGCACGGCCCUUACGUCCAGGGCUACACACGUGUUACAAUGGGGGGUACAAAGGGCAGCUACCUGGCGACAGGAUGCUAAUCUCAAAAACCUCUCUCAGUUCGGAUUGGAGUCUGCAACCCGACUCCGUGAAGCUGGAUUCGCUAGUAAUCGCGCAUCAGCCACGGCGCGGUGAAUACGUUCCCGGGCCUUGUACACACCGCCCGUCAAGCCAUGGGAGCCGGGGGGACCUGAAGUAUGCAACCGUAAGGAGCGUCCUAGGGUAAAACUGGUGACCGGGGCUAAGUCGUAACAAGGUACC